UCCGGCUUUUUUUCCGGCAGUCCCACUAAAGUGCCAAUCUUUACAUUCGGGCAACUAGUAGCAAGGGUUGCGCUCGUUGCGUCACUUAAGACAACAUCUCACGACACGAGCUGACGACAGCCAUGCAGCACCUGUGUUCAGGUUCCUUGCGGCACUCCUCAAUCUCUUAAGGAUUCCUGACAUGUCAAGAGCAGGUAAGGUUCUUCGCGUUGCAUCGAAUUAAUCCACAUCAUCCACCGCUUGUGCGGGUCCCCGUCAAUUCCUUUGAGUUUUAAUCUUGCGACCGUACUCCCCAGGCGGUUUACUUCUCGCGUUAGCUUCGCUACUGAAAUUCUACUCCCAACAGCAAGUAAACAUCGUUUAGGGCGUGGACUAC
rnacentral:misc_RNA from 1 species